rnacentral:rRNA from 1 species
GACGAACGCUGGCGGCGUGCUUAACACAUGCAAGUCGAACGGUGAACCUUCUUCGGGAGGGGAUCAGUGGCGAACGGGUGAGUAACACGUGGGCAACCUGCCUCUAGCUCUGGGAUAACUCCGGGAAACCGGGGCUAAUACCGGAUAUGACCUGCCUGGGCAUCUGGGUGGGGUGGAAAGUUUUUUCGGCGUAGGGAGUGGGCCCGGCGGCCUAUCAGCUUGUUGGUGGGGUGAUGGCCUACCAAGGCGACGACGGGUAGCCGGCCUGAGAGGGCGACCGGCCACACUGGGACUGAGACACGGCCCAGACUCCUACGGGAGGCAGCAGUGGGGAAUAUUGCGCAAUGGGCGAAAGCCUGACGCAGCGACGCCGCGUGAGGGAUGACGGCC